rnacentral:rRNA from 1 species
AUUGAACGCUGGCGGCAGGCUUAACACAUGCAAGUCGAGCGGAGUGAUGGUGCUUGCACUAUCACUUAGCGGCGGACGGGUGAGUAAUGCUUAGGAAUCUGCCUAUUAGUGGGGGACAACAUCUCGAAAGGGAUGCUAAUACCGCAUACGUCCUACGGGAGAAAGCAGGGGAUCACUUGUGACCUUGCGCUAAUAGAUGAGCCUAGGUCGGAUUAGCUAGUUGGUGGGGUAAAGGCCUACCAAGGCGACGAUCUGUAGCGGGUCUGAGAGGAUGCUCGGCCACACUGGGACUGGGACACGGCCCAGACUCCUACGGGAGGCAGCAGUGGGGAAUAUUGGAGAAUGGGGGGAACCCUGAUCCAGCCAUGCCGCGUGUGUGAAGAAGGCCUUAUGGUUGUAAAGCACUUUAAGCGAGGAGGAGGCUCUUUUGGUUAAUACCCAAGAUGAGUGGACGUUACUCGCAGAGUAAGCACCGACUAACUCUGUGCCAGCCGCCGCGGUAA